rnacentral:rRNA from 1 species
UGCCAGCCAGUCGCGGUAAUACUGAGGAGGCGAACGUUAAUCAUUAAUGGCUUAAAGGAUCCGUAGAACGAAAAAAAAGAAUAUAGAGUUAAAAGAAAUAAAUAAUGUAUAAUUAUAAUGAGAGAUGAAAUGCAAUGAAAAUAAUUAGACAGCUAAAACUGAAGAGAAUAUUUAUAAUUUAACUGACGUUGAGGGAUGAAAGCAUAAGUAAUAAACCGGAUUAGAUACCCGAGUAAUUUAUGCUGUAAACGAUGAAUACUAAUAUAAAAAAAAUAUAAAAAAAGCGAAAGUAAAGUAUUCCGCCAGGUGAGUAUAUUCGCAAGAAUGAAAUCCAAGACAAUAGACGGUUACAGGUGUAGGCAGUGGAGCAUGUUAUUUAAUUCGAUAAUCCCCGAUAAAUCUUACCAUUAUUUGAAUAUAAUUUAAUUAAUAAAAAUUUUUUAAUUAUUUAAUACAAAUGUUACAUCGUUGUUUUAAGUUUGUGCUUUAAGGUUAUGAUUAACUUCAUAAACAGACAAAAUUCCAUAUAUUAAAAAUAAAAUCUAAUUAAUAUAUUAAUUCUUUGAUUUAAGAUAAAGAAUUAUAUAAUGGAACUACAACAAAUCAUGAUGACUUUAAUAUAAUGGGCUAAAGACGCAAUACAAAAUAUUAUUAAUAAAAUUAAAUUAAAUACAAAUAUUUAAAUAAUUAAUUUAAAUUAAUAUAUUAAAUAUAUUUUAAUAAAUAUAUUUUAUGUGAAUUAAUUUCUGAAAUUCGUUAUUAUGAAAAAGGAAUUGCUAGUAAUCAUAAUUCAUUAAAUUAUGGUGAAAUUUAUCCCUGUUUCGUACUAAUUACUCAUCAUUCGCCAGAAAGUGUUAUAAUUUUAAAUGUAUUAUUUUUAUCUAUUAUUUACCUUUAUAAUAAUUUAUAUUUAUAUACUCUUUAAUUAUUCGCUGACUGGUGAGAAGUUGAAAUACAGUUACUGUAG